GUCUAUGGAGAGGCGGCGGCCGCGGCUGCUGAGGCGGAGGCUGAGGCAGUGGCGAUGGCGCCCUUCCCUGAAGAAGUGGACGUCUUCACCGCCCCACACUGGCGGAUGAAGCAGCUGGUGGGGCUCUACUGCGACAAGCUUUCUAAAACCAAUUUUUCCAACAACAACGAUUUCCGUGCUCUUCUGCAGUCUUUGUAUGCUACUUUCAAGGAGUUCAAAAUGCAUGAGCAGAUUGAAAAUGAAUACAUUAUUGGUUUGCUUCAACAACGCAGCCAGACCAUUUAUAAUGUACAUUCUGACAAUAAACUCUCUGAGAUGCUUAGCCUCUUUGAAAAGGGACUGAAGAACAUUAAGAAUGAAUAUGAACAGUUAAAUUAUGCAAAACAACUGAAAGAGAGAUUGGAGGCUUUUACAAGAGAUUUUCUUCCUCACAUGAAAGAGGAAGAGGAGGUUUUUCAGCCGAUGUUAAUGGAAUAUUUUACCUAUGAAGAGCUUAAGGAUAUUAAAAAGAAAGUGAUUGCACAACACUGCUCUCAGAAGGAUACUGCAGAACUCCUUAGAGGUCUUAGCCUAUGGAAUCAUGCUGAAGAGCGACAGAAGUUUUUUAAAUAUUCCGUGGAUGAAAAGUCAGAUAAAGAAGCAGAAGUGUCAGAACACUCCACAGGUAUAACCCAUCUUCCUCCUGAGGUAAUGCUGUCAAUUUUCAGCUAUCUUAAUCCUCAAGAGUUAUGUCGAUGCAGUCAAGUAAGCAUGAAAUGGUCUCAGCUGACAAAAACUGGAUCGCUUUGGAAACAUCUUUACCCUGUUCAUUGGGCCAGAGGUGACUGGUAUAGUGGUCCUGCAACUGAACUUGAUACUGAACCUGAUGAAGAAUGGGUGAAAAAUAGGAAAGAUGAAAGUCGUGCUUUUCAUGAGUGGGAUGAAGAUGCUGACAUAGAUGAAUCUGAAGAGUCUGCGGAGGAAUCAAUUGCUAUCAGCAUUGCACAAAUGGAAAAACGUUUACUCCAUGGCUUAAUUCAUAACGUUCUACCGUAUGUUGGUACUUCUGUAAAAACCUUAGUAUUAGCAUACAGCUCUGCAGUUUCCAGCAAAAUGGUUAGGCAGAUUUUAGAGCUUUGUCCUAACCUGGAGCAUCUGGAUCUUACCCAGACUGACAUUUCAGAUUCUGCAUUUGACAGUUGGUCUUGGCUUGGUUGCUGCCAGAGUCUUCGGCAUCUUGAUCUGUCUGGUUGUGAGAAAAUCACAGAUGUGGCCCUAGAGAAGAUUUCCAGAGCUCUUGGAAUUCUGACAUCUCAUCAAAGUGGCUUUUUGAAAACAUCUACGAGCAAAAUUACUUCAACUACAUGGAAAAAUAAAGACGUUACCAUGCAGUCCACCAAGCAGUAUGCCUGUUUGCACGAUUUAACUAACAAGGGCAUUGGAGAAGAAAUAGAUAAUGAACACCCCUGGACUAAGCCUGUUUCUUCUGAGAAUUUCACUUCUCCUUAUGUGUGGAUGUUAGAUGCUGAAGAUUUGGCUGAUAUUGAAGAUACUGUGGAAUGGAGACAUAGAAAUGUUGAAAGUCUUUGUGUAAUGGAAACAGCAUCCAACUUUAGUUGUUCCACCUCUGGUUGUUUUAGUAAGGACAUUGUUGGACUAAGGACUAGUGUCUGUUGGCAGCAGCAUUGUGCUUCUCCAGCCUUUGCAUAUUGUGGUCACUCAUUUUGUUGUACAGGAACAGCUUUAAGAACUAUGUCAGCACUCCCAGAAUCUUCUGCAAUGUGUAGAAAAGCAUCAAGGACUAGAUUGCCUAGGGGAAAAGACUUAAUUUACUUUGGGAGUGAAAAAUCUGAUCAAGAGACUGGACGUGUACUUCUGUUUCUCAGUUUAUCUGGAUGUUAUCAGAUCACAGACCAUGGUCUCAGGGUUUUGACUCUGGGAGGAGGGCUGCCUUAUUUGGAGCACCUUAAUCUCUCUGGUUGUCUUACUAUAACUGGUGCAGGCCUGCAGGAUUUGGUUUCAGCAUGUCCUUCUCUGAAUGAUGAAUACUUUUACUACUGUGACAACAUUAACGGUAAUGCCUUUUAACAGUGAGAUAAUUUUGAAGGAAUUAAUUUAAAAUUUUUUUUAGCAGUUCUAAUAAUUUUUCCAUUUAGUUUUCUAGAUUUCUAAUUACCAGACUGUCUUACUUUCAGAUUUAGUUAAAUUUGAUAAAAUUUUAAAAUUACAUUUUCAUUAAUUAACAUCUUGAAAGGUAAGUUCUUCUUGCAGAUGUAUAUUUUAAAUAUCCAUUGUGUCAGAUUUUUGAGGCAUGUAAUAGUGUAAUC
rnacentral:sRNA from 1 species